GGAUAGCUUAAUUGGCAGAGCAUGAGGCUGUUAAUCUCAGGGAUGUGGGUUCUUCAAGCUCCAUGUUGGGCA